rnacentral:rRNA from 1 species
CCUACGGGUGGCUGCAGUGAGGAAUAUUGGUCAAUGGGCGCGAGCCUGAACCAGCCAAGUCGCGUGAGGGAGGACGGCCCUACGGGUUGUAAACCUCUUUUGCCGGGGAGCAACGGGCGCCACGUGUGGCGUCACUGAGAGUACCCGGAGAAAAAGCAUCGGCUAACUCCGUGCCAGCAGCCGCGGUAAUACGGAGGAUGCGAGCGUUAUCCGGAUUUAUUGGGUUUAAAGGGUGCGUAGGCGGAUCGUUAAGUCAGUGGUCAAAUUGAGGGGCUCAACCCCUUCCCGCCAUUGAAACUGGCGUUCUUGAGUGGGAGAGAAGUAUGCGGAAUGCGUGGUGUAGCGGUGAAAUGCUUAGAUAUCACGCAGAACCCCGAUUGCGAAGGCAGCCUGCCAAGCCAUUACUGACGCUGAUGCACGAAAGCGUGGGGAUCAAACAGGAUUAGAUACCCGGGUAGUC